rnacentral:rRNA from 1 species
CCUACGGGGGGCUGCAGUGGGGAAUUUUGGACAAUGGGGGCAACCCUGAUCCAGCCAUGCCGCGUGAGUGAAGAAGGCCUUCGGGUUGUAAAGCUCUUUCGGCCGGGAGGAAAUCGCAUAGGUUAAUACCCUGUGUGGAUGACAGUACCGGAAUAAGAAGCACCGGCUAACUACGUGCCAGCAGCCGCGGUAAUACGUAGGGUGCGAGCGUUAAUCGGAAUGACUGGGCGCAGUGCUUUCGGAGAGGGGUGAAAUCCCCGGGCUCAACCUGGGAACUGCGCUUGUGACUGGAAGGCUAGAGUAUGGCAGAGGGGGGUGGAAUUCCACGUGUAGCAGUGAAAUGCGUAGAGAUGUGGAGGAACACCGAUGGCGAAGGCAGCCCCCUGGGCCAAUACUGACGCUCAUGCACGAAAGCGUGGGGAGCAAACAGGAUUAGAUACCCCUGUAGUC